UACGUAGGUGGCAAGCGUUGUCCGGAUUUACUGGGCGUAAAGAGCGCGCAGGCGGUCUGAUAAGUCGAAUGUGAAAGCCCCCGGCUCAACUGGGGAGGGUCAUUCGAUACUGUUCGACUCGAAGGCAGGAGAGGGAAGCGGAAUUCCCGGUGUAGUGGUGAAAUGCGUAGAUAUCGGGAGGAACACCAGUGGCGAAGGCGGCUUCCUGGCCUGUUCUUGACGCUGAGGCGCGAAAGCUAGGGGAGCAAACGGGG
rnacentral:rRNA from 1 species